GGGCCGCACCUGCAGCAUAUGGAGAUUCCCAGGCUAGGGGUCUAAUGGGAGCUGCACUGCCUGCUUAUGCCAGAGCCACAGCAAUGCCAGAUCCUUAAUCCACUGAGUGAGGCCAGGGAUCAAACCCGCAAACUCAUGGUUCCUAGUCAGAUUCACUAACCACUGAGCCACAAUGGGAACUCCGGUUAACUCUUUUUUCAAGAACAGUUCUAAACAGAGAUACAGAAAAUACAAAACCUACUGAUAAUCUUAUGAAAGCAAAACAAUAAUUCUCAAAUAUAACAACUUUGAUAUGAAAGAAAGUAUUGCUUUAGCCUAUGUACUAGUUGAGUUAGUCUGCUCACUGCACCCACUAAAACAAUUUUUAAAAAUCUUAAAAGAAAGGAAAUUUUAGGAGUUCCCUGGUAGCCUAGUGGGUAAAGAUUCAGCAUUGUCACUACUGUGACUCAAAUUUGAUCCCUAGCCCAGGAAUUUCUGCAUGCCACAGGUGCAACAACAACAAAAGAGGAAGUCUUUUCUAACUUUUGCUAAGGCAUUUUUAAAGGUGUUUUUAAAAAUGCAUUGAAAGAAUUUUUCGAAAAAAGAGAAAGGGGAACAACUUUACCUUUCUCCUAAUCAUUUAAAAACUCAUAGUCAAUCACCUAAGAGUGAGAUCCAACUGAUGACUAAAAUCCAACAGAUUAGUCUGAAUAUUUCUGGUAAUGUGAACCUGACAUGACCAGAUAAUAACUGCAUUAUUUAAAAAAACAUUACUAGUAUCUACUGAAUAUUGGCUGAUAUCACAAUUUUCUUAUUACUUUCUGGAAAAAAAAUUUAAGAUACUUUUACCUGCUCUUUUAGGGACUAAACAAUUCUAUGUGUCACAAUUCAUGAAAACAGCAUUUUUUUUUCAUAUUUCUAGGUUGUUUGUCAACUGGUGAGCAAACACCCAUAAUGCUCCUUGGCAUCUAUCAAAAUAUUCUGAGUCGCUUGUAACAACAGAGCACUGAUCCAGGAAAGUUUAGACAUUACUAAGUAAACAGUGCACAGAUGUGGGUGCUGAAAAAUUAAUACCACACCACCUUCUGAUAAGCUGUUGCUCCAAAAAUGCUUCUGCAAAAACAGCAUGAAACAAGCCCAAAGCACAAAUAGUCAUGCAAUCACAACAUAAAUGAAUCAUAAAGCAUUAAAACAGAAAUGUCAAGCUCUGGCAUCAGGUACAAUUUGUGACAAAUUACUCAGCCUCACACCUAUUUCUUCAUGCCAUCUCACUGGUAGAGAGAAUACUGGAAGUAAGAGUAACUUGUCACCUGUGAACAAAAAGCAGUUUUAAAAUAAUGUUUAAAUAGUUUUUGAUGUUUGUAAUCUUCCUUCUUAUAUCUCAGAAAAAAAUCCACUUUCAUUCUGAAUGUUCAAAAUAAGUACUUACUAUUCUCAGAUAAGAUGUUCUAAUAAAGUACCAAUUUUAUCACAAAUGAAGGCCACGGGAACCCUAGGAGGUUGCUGCUGACAUCUAGUGGCAUAAUUUUUUCAAUGCUAAAUGUAUCACAAAUGUAUAUCCAGAGAGAGGGGAUAGAUGUACCACAAACAUAUGUCUUGCAAAGUCUAGUAGACAUCCUAUGCUACAAAUUAUUUGCUUCUGCUCACACCACUCUACCUCCAGUGACUCGCUUCCCCUUCCAAAAUAAUGCUACUGCUACAAAACUGGAGAAAUGAAAACCAACACAUCUGUUAAAGCCUUAAGAGAACUGAGUCCCCCAAAAUGCCUAGUCCAUUACGGAAUUGCCCCAAUUCCCAAAGGCUCUGCCCCAACCUCAGUAGUCUUAAUUUUAUCUCAACUUCCCAAAUAACCAGAGCCCUUCCCCAAACUCCACACCUAGCAUUUAGGUACUUUCAGGGUCAUGGUCUAAAGAGACUUGCUUAUAGAGCUGGGAUAUGUUAAUUCACAUUCAUACCCACAAACACACAUGCUCACACGGUCACGAAGUAUAAAAUAAUGCCAUUUGCAGCAACAUGGAUGGACCUAGAGAUUAUCAUACUAAGUGAAGUCAGUCAGACAGAAAAAGACAAAUACCAUAUGGUAUCACAUAUGUGGAAUCUAAAAUAUGACACAAAUAACCUAUCUAUGAAAUAACAAUUGACCCACAGAUACAGAGAACAAACUUGUGGUCGCCAAGGGGUGUAAGGGUGUAAGGGAGGAAUGGACUGGGAGUUUGGGAUUAGCAGAUGCAAACUAUUAUAUUAUAGAAUGGAUAAACAACAAGAUCCUACUGUAUAGCACAGGGAACUAUAUUCAAUAGCUUAUGAUAAAUCAUAAUGGGAAAGAAUAUGAAAAGUAUAUAUAUAUAUAUACACAUAUAUAUAUACAUAAGACUGAGUCACUUGCUAUAGAGCAGAAGUUCACACAGCAGUGUAAAUCAACUAUACUUCAAUAAAACUUUCAAAAAACGGUCAUGAACUCCCUGUGCAUGAGAUUCAAUAUUUAUUGAAAAUUUUAAAAUAGCUAUCAGGGACUGCUUUAAUGUUUCCAACCAUCCACAUGAACGAUGAAAUUGAGAUUGAUGUAAAAAAUGAUAAGAAGCAUAGAGAUAAUUUCUACAGGCAAGCAAAAAGAUUUACUCUAGAGCCUCUAUCCAUAUGCAGGUAUGUGCAGACAAGGGAUGUGUGUGUGCAGAACAAGAGCAAGACAAGUUCGGCACGCACCCCAUUCCCACGAAAGCACUUGUGAGUAUAAGAGGUAAACACCAAAUCGAUGAAUGAAUGAAUAAAUGAAUAAGGUGGCAAAUUACAAUAGAACUUUCCCCCUAUUGAUUCUGAUGUAAGGUAUGUUAUAUAGGCAGUGUUGUUUUGCUCUUUAGGCAAAAGUGCCUUUGUGGAGUAGUUCAGGUUAGAUUUUUCUCCCAUGACAUGUGCAAAGGAGCACAAAGCCAGUGCGUGAUUAAGUUGGGUAAUAUCCCUUUGGUUAAGGGAGUGUAUGUUCAUAAUUGGAAAUUAUUUGCUCUAUAAAUUGGUACAGUUGAAUUUAGAUUUUAUUCACAUUGAAAAGAUGUGAUAAAGGGAGAAGAGCUUCUCAAGUUGGUCCUAAUUUAGCAAUGUUUAAAUAAUACAAAACAUUGCUAAAUUAUAAUUCUCAUAGUACAAAGGCAUCUUCUGGCCGUUUAAAUAUUCGUUCAAUGGAAAUCUUAGAGACACGAGAAGCUCAUUCAUUCAAAGCCUGUCUACUUCACUCACAUGUGGGACUAAAAGUAGAUGACAGAAGAAUCUUUUUUACAAUCUCACUGAAGGAAAAAUAAAUCCUGUGUCUGUGUAUAUACAUUUACACACAAAAAAAUUAUACAUAUGUAUAUAAAUCCAUGCACACAUGAGAACUAUUACAUAGCAAUGCGGAGAAAUCAAUGACAAUGUGGUAGAUACUGUAUCUAGGUUACUUUACUGAAUGAAUAUGAGUUAAGGAAGAGAAAUACUUGUAGCAUGAUGUAGAACGCAGAAGGCUCCCUAAAGAGAUAUUUUAAGGUUAUGAAGGCUUUGGAAUAAGGAAGAAAAAAGACUGGGCAUUCCAAGCGGAGUUUUCAGCAUAAGGAACAGCAAGAAUGUUUAGGGGAUGAGGUGGAGUAUGAGACAGACAAGUACGGUAAGAAACACAGGUGGAGAAUCAACAUAAGAACUUGAAUAUUAGCAGGAGACAAUUCUUGACAACGCUACGGCUUAUAGUCUUGGGAGUUUUCUUUAAAGUUUUAAAAAGGUAGAGUAUAUCACAGAAUCUAAUACUCUAAAGAGUAAAGGAUAUCUUCGUAUUUUUGCAAAUGACAAAAUCAUAAAACAAAAAGGGGAAAUUCAUAAUAACUCUUCCUCAUACACAGUCCUCUCUAAGAAUUAGGUUUUAAUCUCUUCUCCAUGAAAGUGUUCAAAGGUUUAUUCACUGGCUUUCAGUUUAAAUUUUCUUUGGGAGCAUGUUUGCCGGAUGUUAGAGCUCUUGCUCUAUAAAGCAUUGCAUAUAUCCUAUGGGCAUUGUGACAAUUACGUCACACUUUCAUCACAUGUAUAGCGGUAUUCCUAACUCGCACUUAAGUUUAUGGUCAUUAACUUGUUAAUCAACUGCACAUUUGAUGCUUUACUUUCCAUUGUUGCUUUAUAGUAUUUUGUAAUAAAUAAUAUAAAAUAUAAUUUGCAAUAAGCUCUUAAAAUAUCAAAAGAAUUGUAUCCUCUAUAAAAGACUUCGACAUGUGUUACAUCUACAAAAUGUUCUACAGCCAUAAUAAUAAACCGCAAGGAAACCAAUCUCUAAAUGAUACAUGUAUAACUUACUUCUUAGUGCCCUACAACAUAAAGAACACUGUACACUAGCCUUCUGACAGUUUAUUUUCAAUUCUCAAAAAUGUGUUCAUACUAAGGUUAGAUUUCAACCUAGAGUACAUCAAAAAAUUGCUGAAUCCUUGAUGUAUCAUUCUACUUUCCUACAGGAAAAUUAAAUAUAUGUGAGAAUAAAACUUAAUAUUCCUACAUAAUAAAAAUAAAUUAUAAACAUGAAAUUUUCUUAAUUGAAAUUCAAUCUCUUCUAGGACCUAUAAACCUGUGGAAAAACUGAACAGAAUAAAAGUCUAUUUUUGCCCAUAAUUUGACUAGGAAAAGAGUAGGAUAUUUUAACCUGCCUCUAUUUGGGGGUGACAAAAUUUAAGAAGAUUAUGACUAACAGAAUCAAUAAGUUUACAUAAUGAGAUGCCACAUGAAAACUUAUCCUAAAACCCUUUUUAAGAAAGUCAAAUGUAGGAGUACCCACGGUGCCUCAGUGGUAACAAAUCUGACUAGUAUCCAUGAGGAUGAGGGUUCAAUCCCUGGCCCUGCUGAGUGGGUGAAGGAUCUGACAUUGCCAUGAACUGUGGUGUAGAUCACAGACAUGGCUUGGAUCCCAUACUGUUGUGGCUGUGGUGUAGGCCGGCAGCUACAGCUCUGAUUCAACCCCUAGUCUGGGAACUUCCAUAUGCCAUGGGCAAGGCCCUAAAAAGACAAAAAAGUAAAAUAAAAUAAAGUCAAAUGUAGAACUUUCGUGUAUCUGCACACACAAAACUGCCUGUUAAGCCAAUAGAUUGCUCUCCAAGCCCCAUCGCCAGAGUUAAUGGUACAUAAAGUGAGUAUGUUAGGUCAUCAUGGCCAACUGAGAAAAGCUGAAUGGUCCUAUGUAUCUAAAAACAGCACCUUCACUAGUAUAUCUUGAAUGUCCACUACUUUAACUUUGAAAUUUACAUGCAUAUAUCACAUUUAGGAUAAUAGAGACAGAGUAUCACAUUAGCAUUCUUUGUCUUAUUGAAAGGAAUUUAAAACAAUUUUUAAUUUAUUAUUAUUAUUUUUUUUGGCUGUGCUCAGGGCAUGCAGAAGUUCCAGGGCCAGUGAGGGAACCCAUGCCACAGUAGCCACGGGAGCCACAGCAGUGACAACAUCAGGUCCUUAGCCCACUGACCCACAAGGGAACUCUCAACAAGAAUUUUUUGCGAAGUUGCCUUACCUCAAAGAAUUCAAAGGGCCAACCUAGAGAGGUAAUGAUAUGAACACUUCAGUUAGUCCUCCACACCCUACUCCCAACCUCCACCUAAACACCAGCAUCCUAGAGCAUAAUCUCUUCGGCACUGUUACCGGACCAAAGUGCUUGCUCUGCCUAUAUCCAGAACUGGCCCUUCAUUUGCAUGUUGGGGAGAAGCAAAUCUUGUGACUCUAGGUACACAGUAGUGAACUCUCUGCCAUGUUAAUGGGAGUUUCUCUCUUUCAUCCCAACUCCUUCUUUACUAUGGUCAUUCGGAGUAAGUUUAUCCAUUUCUUAAACACGUGAAAUAAAAGCCUGAUAAGACUGAACAUAUUAGUAUACACAUAUCCUGAAAAAAGAAAAAAUUCACAUGAAUGCCCAGAUGGUCUGUGCUCCUUCCCGUCAUCCUUUAUUUUUAUUCUAAAGGACAGGGAUCCUUGACCCUCUUCAUUAGCUCCACUCACUCAGUGAGCUUCUUGCUCUGUCUUUACCCAGUGUCAUCUCCCAUUGAUUUCCCCUCAACCAGCACUUUCCUACCAUUCAUCUCCCUCCGCUUGAAUCACAGAGCUCAGCUUCAAGCCCUUGCACAUAUUGUCUAAGUAUUCGUUCUUAUUAUAACAUCUCUCCUUGGGGAGUCACAGCUAACAGCUCUAUGCUAAAGGAAGCCCUCAAUUGACUUCAUUAACCACUUAAAAACACUUUAUAUUUUGCAUUAUCAUUUAAGUAUAGAGUGCCUACAAUUUAAAAUUCCCUUUAAAGAAGAGAAGCUACUUCCUUGAGGGGUUUAUACCUCCUCUGAAGAAAUAAGGAGAAACCCUUCUGUCUGUAAUUCAACCCAACAAUUUGUUUUUGCUCAACUGCAAAUUAAAGUUCAGAAACCAGUUUGCUGCCGAUGCCCAUUAAAUUUAACUGCUUCUUUUGUUUCAGCACUCACUUGUUUUUUAGGAAUUCAACAAUUUGUCAAAAAUAAAACGCAAUUAAUAUGUAGCCUGAUAUACAUCUCAGCAAAUCCAGUAUGUGUGUUCAUUUGCAUAAAGUGAAAUCAUAUCUUCAUAGCUAUAUAAGUGGACAGCAGUGAUAGAUGGGUCUAGCU
rnacentral:lncRNA from 1 species